GCUAACGUUCAAACGGGGCAAUUUCCACGGGUCGAGCGCGGGAUUGCAACCCUGAUCCUCUUCGGAGGUGACGCUUGUGGAACCGAGGCGGCGGACGGGUGAGUAACACGUGGGCAACCUGCCUGUAAGACUGGGAUAACCCCGGGAAACCGGGGCUAAACCGGAUAAUACUUUUCAUCACCUGAUGGAAAGUUGAAAGGUGGCUUCUUGCUACCACUUACAGAUGGGCCCGCGGCGCAUUAGCUAGUUGGUGAGGUAACGGCUCACCAAGGCAACGAUGCGUAGCCGACCUGAGAGGGUGAUCGGCCACACUGGGACUGAGACACGGCCCAAGACUCCUACGGGAGGCAGCAGUAGGGAAUCUUCCGCAAUGGACGAAAGUCCUGACGGGAGCAACUCCCCCGGUAAGUUAAUAAAAUGGUUUUACCGGAUCCGAAAACCUUUGUUUUUUGGGAAGAACAAGGUCCGGUUUGAAAUGGGCGGCGCCCUUGACGGUACCCUAAUCAGAAAAGCCCGGGCUAACUACGUACAGCACGCCGCGGUUAAUUACGUAGGGGGCAAGCGGUUAUCCGAAUUAUUUGGGCGUAAAGCGCGCGCCGGCGGGUCCUUUAAGUCUGAUGUAAAGCCCACCAGGCUUUACCGGUGAAAGGGUCAAUUGGAAACCUGGAAGGACUUGAGUCAGAAGAGGAGAGAGUAAAAUUCCUCGUGUAGCGGGUAAAUGCGAGAGAUGUGGGGACACCAGUGGCGAAGGGGCUAAUGGUCGCCCCCUUGGAAACGACCCUUAGGACCGAACUACAAGGGUGGUUCCCAAGGGGUUCCGCCCCUUUAUGCGUAAGUUACGCAAUUAGCACUCCGCCUGGGGAGUCGGCCGCAAGGCUGAAACUCAAUUUAAUUGACGGGGGCCCGCACAAGCGGUGGACGCAUGUGGUUUAAUUCUGACGCAACGCAAAGAACCUUACCAGGUCUUGACAUCCUCUGCAAUCGGGAGAGAUCCUGAGUUCCCUUCGGGGACAGACUGACAGGUGGUUGCAUGGUUGAUCGUCAGCUCGCGUCGUGAGAUGUUGGGUUAAGUCCCGCAACGAGCGCAACCCUUUGAUUCUUAGUUGCCAGCAUUUAGUUGGGCACUUCUAAGGUGACUGCCGGUGACAAACCGGAGGAAGGUGGGGAUGACGUCAAAUCAUCAUGCCCCUUAUGACCUGGGCUACACACGUGCUACAAUGGAUGAACAAAGGAAGCAAAACCGCGAGGUCAAGCAAAUCCCAUAAAACCAUUCUCAGUUCGGAUUGCAGGCUGCAACUCGCCUGCAUAAGCCGAAUCGCUAGUAAUCGCGGAUCAGCAUGCCGCGGUGAAUACGUUCCCGGGCCUUGUACACACCGCCCGUCACACCACGAGAUGUUGGUACACCCAAGUGGUAGGUACCUUUGAGCCAGCCACCAAGGUGGACAAUUGUGGG
rnacentral:rRNA from 1 species